rnacentral:rRNA from 1 species
CACGUAGGGCGCAAGCGUUGUCCGGAAUUAUUGGGCCUAAAGCGUCCGUAGCUGGCCUGUUAGAUGCCUGGGUAAAUCGAUGCGCUCAACGUAUCGAACUCCGGGUAGACCGGCAGGCUUGGGACCGGGAGAGGCGUGAGCUACUCGGGGGGUAGGGGUAAAAUCCUGUAAUCCUCCGGGGAGGACCAGUGGCGAAGGCGUCACGCUAGAACGGCUCCGACAGUGAGGGACGAAGCCCUGGGGCGCAAACCGG